UGUAGCCUGCAGAUGCCUUGAGGUCUUGGUUUUUUUGCAAGAAAGACUUAUUCUUUUCCUUUUUCAAAAAUUUUUUUAACGUUUAUUUACUUUUUGAGAGAAAGAAAGAGAGAGACAGAGCAUGAGUGGGGGAGGGGCAGAGAGAGAGGGAGACACAGAUCCGAAGCAGGAUUCAGGCUCUGAGCUGUCAGCACAGAGCCUGACGUGGGGCUCGAACCCACAAGCUGCGAGAUCACGACCUGAGCCGAAGCCAGACGCUUAACUGACCGAGCCAGCCAGGCGCCCCGAAAGUCUUUUUCUUUUCAGGCCUCCUGUGUCUCAGAUGGAGAUUUUCUCAUGGCAUCAGGACCUCUGAUUUAGCAGGAACCUGUGAGGGAAUGUUAAGUGAAGCCCUUCCAGUGUUGGAAGAUCUAGCCUAGAAAUUCUGAAAAACGCAAGCCAUCCAUCUGGAGGCUCAAAUUGAUGCUCGCCGACAACCAUCGCUGGCUUUUCAGAGCAAGGUUUAUUUAUUUUGAAAAAGAGAGAGCGAGAAAAACAGAGUGCAAGCAGGGGAGCGGCAGCGAGGGAGAGAGAGAAUCCCAAGCAGGCUCCGCACUGUCCCGUCGGCGGGGAGCCUCACUUAGGCUCGACCUCACGGACCGUGAGGUCAUGACCUGAGCCAAAAUCAAGAGUCGGACGCUCAACCGCCUGAGCCACCCAGACGCCCGGAGAACCUGUAGUUUAACAAGAUCCCCAGAUGAUUCAUAUGUGUGUUAAUGUUUGAUAGACCUGUAGGCCGGGUUGUCCUGUAACUGUGUCUUCCAGCAAAAGUCCUAGAGAGCAGCACAGGACAGGUGAGUGGUGCUCAUACAGAGUGACGCUGAGCCACGACUGAUUCGCGUCUGGCUGUGGCCUGUUCUCUUUCAAGGGCAGCAUGGGGAGGGGAGCUGCCAUGUGACCAGGACCCCCAAGGGAAGUGUGAGCGUCAGCAGAUAUACAGGGGAGACGUGGGAGGGUCCCGGUCCUCGAUGAAAUGUGUCUCCCACUCAGCGCAGCUACAGACCCAGAGCAGAGCACAAUGGAGCAGCUGUGGGCACUUCUGAGAAGUGGCAGCAGGCAGAUUGGGGAGGGAGACCAGAAAUCCAAGUGCCACUGAACCAGCAGUGAGUUUCCCACUUGUUUGACAGUGUAUCCGCAGUCUGGAUUGGGGGCAGCCCCGAACUUGGAAGUGCACGUGUGUGGAUUGAAAGAUCUCCCUCUAGUUCCGGCUCAAGGUGAAGUUAACACGGGGGGCUGUUCUUUAUCCUUCCUUUCACCAUUCUCUCACAGCGGGCCCCCAGGCGAUCAGAGCAGUGGCAGUGACAGCGGGGACAGGGCCCCUUUCCUCUCUGUUGGGAGGAGUUGUUUCUCCGAAGAAUGGGGGCGACCCAUUCCUUUUUUUCUCUCUGUUUCCCACCACUUGGCCCUGAAUGUGGACACAUGUAUGGGAGGUGAACAGCACAGUAGGAUAAAUAGAGCACUAGCUCUCUGUCCAGAGGACGGCCAAGGGGAGCCAGAGUGCUAGAAAGUGCGAGGGAGGUGGCGAAAAGGGAGGAACUUGGGCAAACGGCCCCACCAAGCUGUUCAGAAACUGCUGGGCUCAACCCUGUGCUGUGCAUUGGAUCUGCCCUUAAACAGCACACCGAAGACUCUGAGAACCGAAUUAAGGGGUAGACCACCACCCAAGUCCCAGAUGGACAGCAGCCUCCCAGCCCCCACGGGGGGAACACCCAUGGGGAAAGGCUGCGUCCCUCCGAAGAUUCUGAAAACAAGACAACACUGAAACUACAACCGACAGAAGGCUGGCAGACCUGUCAGCCUGAAUCCGUCUGGGUUGAUCGUCUAUGAAAACACAAAUACCAACCUUUACAUAACAUGGAAACAAAACCCAGGUCGUGUAACGUAUCGUUCAAAACUGCCGGGAUACCAUCCAAUAUCACUCUGUGUAUUCAUUUUCUAUAGCUAGAGACAAGUGGCCACAAACUUAGUGGCUUCAAACAAUACCCUCUUUUUUUUUUUUUUUUUUUUAAUUUUAAAGUUUUGUUACAUCCGAAGUCCAAAAUCAGUCUCACUGGGCUAAGGUCCAGGUGUGGGCAGCGCUGGCUCCUUUUGGAGGCUCUGUGGGAGAAUUGUUUCCUUGCCUUUUCCAGCUUUGAGCGGCUGCCCACACUCCUUGACUCAUGGACCCCUUGCUCUGUCUUCAAAGCAAGCAACUGAACAUUCCUCCGACCCUUCUUCCAUAGCCAUAUCCCUUUCUGACCACAGCCAGGAAACAUGCUCUGCUUUUAAAGAUGCUUGUGAUUAUAGUUGGCCCGCCAGUAAAUCUUUCCAUCUCAAGGUCAGCUGAUAAGCAAUUUUAAUAGUGUCUGCGACCUCACUUCCUUCUGCCCUGCAAUGUAACAUAGUCACAGUUUCCGGGAACAAGAACAAGGACAUCUUUGAGGGAGACUUUAUUCUGCCUACCACCCUCAGCAUACGAAGAGCCAUCAAAUCUCAGCUCACAUGAAAACAGACAAUCAACAGACGCCGGCACCAAAAGGAUGCAGAUGUUGGCAUUUUCCGGCAAGGACUUUCAAGCAGCUAUUAUAAAAUAUUCCAAGAACGAAGGGAGAGCACUCUUGAAAUGAAUGGAGAGAUGGAAAGUCUUAGCAGGGAAAGAUAAAGGGUAAAGGAUAGCCAGAUAUAAAUUUUAGAAUUAAAACACGCAAUAAACAAAAUUUCAAAGCCUGAUGGAUAUACUAAUAGAAAUUAUUCAGUCUAAACAACA